rnacentral:rRNA from 1 species
CGCGUAGGCGGGUGUUUAAGUCAGAGGUCAAAUCCCAGGGCUCAACCCUGGAACUGCCUUUGAUACUGGACACCUAGAGUGCGGGAGAGGUGAGUGGAACUCCGAGUGUAGAGGUGAAAUUCGUAGAUAUUCGGAAGAACACCAGUGGCGAAGGCGACUCACUGGCCCGUUACUGACGCUGAGGCGCGAAAGCGUGGGGAGCAAACAGGAUUAGAUACCCUGGUAGUCCACGCCGUAAACGAUGAGUGCUAGUUGUCGGCAAGCAUGCUUGUCGGUGACGCAGCUAACGCAUUAAGCACUCCGCCUGGGGAGUACGGUCGCAAGAUUAAA